rnacentral:lncRNA from 1 species
GACUCGGGUAUGUUUGGAGUUCGAGCAGACUACCAAGAAAAGCGGGCUUAACACAUAUAUAAAAAUAGAGAAACGAUAAUAAUAAUGGUAAUAAAAAAAAAACCACCAACGCUCUUACUAUAAAGAUGAAGAGAUCGAAAAAUGUAAAAUAUUAAAGAAUAAAAUUGCUUUAUUAAUAAGAAAAAUAAGAAUAAGAAUAUCUAAAACGCAAUAAGUCAUCUUGGUCACAACAACUUGUAAAACCAAAACAUCUAAUAUAAACUGAUCAUAAGCCAC